GAUGAACGCUGGCGGCGUGCCUAAUACAUGCAAGUCGAGCGAACAGACGAGGAGCUUGCUCCUCUGACGUUAGCGGCGGACGGGUGAGUAACACGUGGAUAACCUACCUAUAAGACUGGGAUAACUUCGGGAAACCGGAGCUAAUACCGGAUAAUAUAUUGAACCGCAUGGUUCAUAGUGAAAGACGGUUUUGCUGUCACUUAUAGAUGGAUCCGCGCCGCAUUAGCUAGUUGGUAAGGUAACGGCUUACCAAGGCAACGAUGCGUAGCCGACCUGAGAGGGUGAUCGGCCACACUGGAACUGAGACACGGUCCAGACUCCUACGGGAGGCAGCAGUAGGGAAUCUUCCGAAAUGGGCGAAAGCCUGACGGAGCAACGCCGCGUGAGUGAUGAAGGUCUUCGGAUCGUAAAACUCUGUUAUUAGGGAAGAACAAAUGUGUAAGUAACGAUGCACGUCUUGACGGUACCUAAUCAGAAAGCCACGGCUAACUACGU
rnacentral:rRNA from 1 species